AUGUCUAAGUCAGAGUCUCCUAAAAAGCCUGAACAGCUGCAGAAGCUUUUCAUCACAUGGUUGAUCUUUGAAAUAACUGAUGAGGGUUUCUACAGCCAUUUUGAGCAGUGAGAACUCUUAUGGACUGUGUAGUAAUGAGAGACUCAAACACCAAGCACUCCAGGGGUUUUGGGUUGUCCCAUAUGUCACCAUGGAGGUAGAUAUAGCCAUGAAUACACCAUACAAGGUGGAUGGAAGAGUUGUGGAACCAAACAGAGCUGUCUCAAAUGAAGAACUUCAGAGACCAGGUAACCACUUAAAUGUGAAAAAGAUUGUAGUGGCAUUAAAAAAAAGACACCGAAGACCAUCACCUAAGAAAUAAUUUUGAACAGUAUGGAAAAUUAAAGUGACUGAAAUCAUGACUGACUGAGGCAGUGGCAAGAAGAGGGGCUUUGCUUUCAUAACUUUUGAUGACCAUGACUCCCUGGAUAAUACUGUCAUUCAGAAAUACCAUCCUGUGAAUGGCCACAAUCAUGAAAUAAGGAAAGCCUUAUUGAAGCAAGAGAUGGCUAGUGCUUCAUCCAGCCAAAGAGGUCAAAGUAGUUCUAGAGAUGUGAGUGGUGGUCGUGGAGGUAGUUUUGGUAGGAAUGACAACUUUGGUAGUAGAGGAAACUUCAAUGGUUGUGGUGGCUUUGGUGGCAGCCGUGGUGAUCGUAGAUAUGGUGGCUGCGGGCACGGCUAUAAUGGAUUUGGUAGAUAGAAACAAUUUUGAAGGUAGAGAAAGCUAUAACGAUUUUUGGCAAUUACAAUAAUCAAUCUUCAAAUUUUGGGCCUACGAAGGGAGGGAACUUUGGAGGCAGAAACUCUAGUUCCUAUGGUGGGGGAGGCCAAUACUUUGCCAAACUACAAAACCAAGAUGGCUAUGAUGGUUCCAGUAGCAAUAGU
rnacentral:lncRNA from 10 species